rnacentral:lncRNA from 1 species
CUCGGAUGAAUAGGUCUCUGAAAAGCUUCUUUAAGUAGGAAUAAUCAGGUUUGUCUUCAAACCGUAACGAACGCACGUAGAGGAAAUAAGAUGUGAACUCAGGUGGAAAGUUUUUACAGAGGACCUCCACUGGUGUAAGUCUUUUCUUUUCGCUGAUCUUGUCAUACUUCUGCUUCUUGGUUCCUGCACGAAGUCCUUGCCAUGGAAGGCUGAAAAGAGAAAUUACAGAUCAGAAACAAGUCUAAUAUACAAUGAAGAGUAGAAAAGAGUAGACUUAUUGAUUUACCUUCCUCGGAGAAAAUACAUAAGCAUGUAGCCAAGAGACUCCAGAUCAUCCCUCCUACUUUGCUCUGUUAUAUUAAAAUACUAAUUAAGAAAGUGUCAAGUCUCUCAAGUGCAUGCAAGUUGAUGGUAACAUGAGAAGCAAGAAACAAAAAAAAAGACUAACCAAUUCCAAGAUGGGUGUUAACACUUGCAUACCGAGCUGUUCCUGUAAGAUUCUUGUUAUCUCUGAGAAGCAACAACACUUUCAGAUUAGCAAAGUGAAAGCCAUCUAAGAAAACAACUCAACUUUGGGUAGCUAAACAAACUGUUGCAAUGCAACCUGGAUAGUUUCUACCAAUGUUGAAAAAUCACUAGGCGGUAACUAGGCGCUUUAUAGGGAAUUACUGAUUUGCCGCUUUAGAACAACUUUCUACAUGAGGAGACAGAGUAGGUACCUGUAAGGAAUAUGCUUGUGUGUUUGAAGAUCUCUAUACUUUUUCGCUAGCCCAUAGUCAAUGAUGUAAACCUGUAAAGUAAUAGACCCAGAUGGUAUUUAAACCAAAUUUAUGAAAAAUACUCAAGCUCUCAAACUGUACUCACCUGGUUAGCUUUGCGGCCAAGACCCAUCAAGAAGUUAUCUGGCUUAAUAUCACGGUGAAGAAAGCCUCGCACAUGCAUAUACUCCACUCUGUUUAACUACCGUAUACAAAAAUUGAAACCAUAGUGUAAGCACAUGGAAUCAAGUAGAAGAAAAGGAACAAAAAUGAACUACUACCAUCUGAUCAGCGAGCAUUAGAACAGUCUUGAGGGAGAAAGAACGACUGCAAUAGUUGAAAAACUCCUCCAAACUAGGACCAAGAAGGUCGAUCACCAUACAGUUGUAUUCACUCUCAACCCCAAACCAUUUAAGGUGAGGAAUACCAGCUUCAAUAACACAAAAUACAUAAUUAUAUAAACAUUAAGAAACAAGAUUGAAGAGUGAAGAGUCAAAAGCGGGGAUACCUCAGUAUUGUCCAAUCGAAUACAUAGUCAAACUGGUAACCUGCACACAUGAGAAUCAAAUCAGUUUCUUGAGAAUGUUCAUUAGAAUUAUUGAAAGAUAGAGAAUAAGUGUAUACCCUCUCGGAUGAAUAGGUCUCUGAAAAGCUUCUUUAAGUAGGAAUAAUCAGGUUUGUCUUCAAACCGUAACGAACGCACGUAGAGGAAAUAAGAUGUGAACUCAGGUGGAAAGUUUUUACAGAGGACCUCCACUGGUGUAAGUCUUUUCUUUUCGCUGAUCUUGUCAUACUUCUGCUUCUUGGUUCCUGCACGAAGUCCUUGCCAUGGAAGGCU